rnacentral:rRNA from 1 species
UACGAAGGGGGCUAGCGUUGCUCGGAAUCACUGGGCGUAAAGCGCACGUAGGCGGAUUGCUAAGUCAGGGGUGAAAUCCUGGAGCUCAACUCCAGAACUGCCCUUGAUACUGGCGGUCUCGAGUCCGGGAGAGGUGGAGUGGAACUGGCGAGUGUAGAGGUGAAAUUCGUAGAUAUUCGCAAGAACACCAGUGGCGAAGGCGGCUCACUGGCCCGGUACUGACGCUGAGGUGCGAAAG